UACGUAGGGGGCAAGCGUUGUCCGGAAUCAUUGGGCGUAAAGAGCGUGUAGGCGGCUUGGUAAGUCCGCUGUGAAAGUCCAGGGCUCAACCCUGGAAUGCCGGUGGAAACUGUCAGGCUCGAGUCCGGAAGAGGAGAAUGGAAUUCCCGGUGUAGCGGUGAAAUGCGCAGAUAUCGGGAAGAACACCCGUGGCGAAGGCGGUUCUCUGGGACGGUACUGACGCUGAGACGCGAAAGCGUGGGGAGCGAACAGG
rnacentral:rRNA from 1 species